rnacentral:rRNA from 1 species
AGCAGUCGCCGCGGGAAUACGAAGGGUGCAAGCGUUACUCGGAAUUACUGGGCGUAAAGCGUGCGUAGGUGGUGGUUUAAGUCCGUUGUGAAAGCCCUGGGCUCAACCUGGGAAUUGCAGUGGAUACUGGGUCACUAGAGUGUGGUAGAGGAUAGUGGAAUUUCCGGUGUAGCAGUGAAAUGCGUAGAGAUCGGAAGGAACAUCUGUGGCGAAGGCGACUAUCUGGGCCAACACUGACACUGAGGCACGAAAGCGUGGGGAGCAAACAGGAUUAGAUACCCCAGUAGUCCUGUCUCUUAUACC